rnacentral:lncRNA from 1 species
UUGUUUGAAAACCUCUAGGAUUUGUUCCAUUUGGGCCGAUUGUUUAGGGCGAAUGAGUCUUUGUGGGUAAGGAACCCUUGGCUUGUAAACUUCUUCGUUGGGCUUUUGAGAAAUGGGCCCAGGACUAGGUUCACUCAUAGACUCACGGAUUCUAGAACAUUCGGGCUUAUCAUGAUUAGUGCUAGACAAAGAAGGAUUUGUUCUAGGAAUCGACUCCUCAUUUUCAUUAACGUUCUCACCAACUUUGUUAUCCACUUGGUUUCCCG